CUUUUCUACUUGUCGUCUUUCCUUGAACAAGUUUGUGUCGCAUUUAGUUGUUAUGUUUGUCCUUGAUUAUGUUCCUAUGAGACUUUUGGACCGGUUUUUCUUUCUGGGUUUACUGACCGGAACUCAGUUUUAUUUUACUAUUACAAACAUCUUUUAGCAACAAUAUAAAUCAAAUAAAAUUGUGAAAUGAAGACAUCGGCGGUUUGGUGUUUCAAUGGGAUUAUUCUGUGCAUCGGGGUUUCAUUGAGAGCAAGAGGGUCGUCUCAGAUUCAUCUUGUUGGUUCAGUUGACCCAGUCGUUGCCUGUGACGAUGUCGUACUACCGUGCUACCUGAAACCCAACGUCAGCGCUGUGGACAUGAUGGUGGAGUGGACAAGAACUGACCUGAAAACUCAAAGGUCCAUCUUUACCGUGAAGGUCGAGACUCCAACGGUCACCAGCUUCCAUUCUACAGCGGAAGGACAUCACUGUUAGAAGAACUGAAGAACGGCAACGGCUCCUUAAAACUGACCGGAGUUACUCUCUCUGAUGCUGGACACUACAAGUGCUUCAUUCCAACACUGACGAAGAUAACAACCAUUCAACUUAUAGUUGGUGCUGUAUCCCAGCCAGUGAUCUCUAUUAAUGGAACCAAAGGCUGGGGGGUGGUCCUGAAGUGUAACUCUGGAGGCUGGUACCCACAGCCUGAGCUUGAGUUGUUGGACUAUCAUGGAAACAUCCUCUCUGCUAGCGAACCCACUGAGACAAGCGACUCGUCAGAGACCGAGAUUCACCCUGAGGGUUGCUACACCGUGAGACGAUAUGUCACCAUCCAGAAGACUGACGAUAACAGGUUCACCUGUAGAGUCGUACAGCUGCAGAUCAACCAGACGCGGGAGACUCAGAUUCAUGUCCCAGACGAUAUGUUUCCUAGCGUGUGGUGGAUUGUGGGUAUAGUAGCAGGAGCUGUAGUGGCCUUUGCAGCUUUUGCUGUUCUGCUCUACUUUUGCAGAAAACAACGUGAUAAACUCAGAAAAGAAGCAAAAAAAAAUGGAGAUCUUCAGACUGAGCUGGAUGCAGAGGAGAACAUUAGACAACAUGUAGAGAAGAAGGUUGUCGGUUUUUUGGAUGCUCGCAGGCCGAAGCUCGUUGACAAUGUCACCAAGGUGAUUCCCAUAGCAGAUGCCCUGAAGUCCGUGAUCCAAGAACAGUGUUAUCGUAACAUCUCUGCCGCUGAAACCAACGUGGAGAAGAUGAAUCUUCUGUUCGCGGUCGUAGAUUCAGGCGGCGAAGAGGUGAAAUCAGCUUUUUACAAGACUCUGAUGAAAGAAGAGCCUGAUUUAGUCCUCGACAUACUGAAAGCAGAACCUGAUCGAGUCAUAAACCUACUGGGUGAAGAACUGGGGAGAGCUGAAGAAGUCCUCUCCGGGAUCGCUUGUCAACGCAGAACACAGAGGACUAUCUCCCAAAGUAAUCACAGGCUUUAUGAGUCUAAUGUGUAAAUACCGGUCAGGUUAUUAAUGUUGUUGUCCUCGGGGAGAGAAGACCUCAGGCUUUAUGAGUCUAAUGUGUAAUUACUGGUCAGGUUAUUAAUGUUGUUGUCCUCGGGGAGAGAAGACCUCAGGCUUUAUGAGUCUAAUGUGCAAUUACUGGUCAGGUUAUUAAUGUUGUUUUCCUCGGGGAGAGAAGACCUCAGGCUUUAUGAGUCUAAUGUGCAAUUACUGGUCAGGUUAUUAAUGUGGGAAUGUUGUCCUCGGGGAGAGAAGACCUCAGGCUUUAUGAGUCUGUGUAGUUACUGGUCAGGUUAUUAAUGUUGUUCUCCUCAGGGGAGAAAAGACCUCAGGCUUUGAGUCUAAUGUGUAAUUACUGGUCAGGUUAUUAAUGUUGUUGUCCACAGGCUUUGAGUCUAAUGUGUAAUUACUGGUCAGGUUAUUAAUGUUGUUGUCCUCAGGCUUUAUGAGUCUAAUGUGUAAUUACUGGUCAAGUUAUUAAUGUUGUUGUCCUCAGGCUUUAUGAGUCUAAUGUGUAAUUACUGGUCAGGUUAUUAAUGUUGUCCACAGGCUUUAUGAGUCUAAUGUGUAAUUACUGGUCAGGUUAUUAAUG
rnacentral:lncRNA from 1 species